UCGAACAGACCUAAAUUUUUUAGCUUCUACACCAAAAUUUAAUUUUAAUCCAACAUCGAGGUCGCAAUCCUUUUUUUCGAUAAGAACUCUCAAAAAAGAUUACGCUGUUAUCCCUAAGGUAAUUUAUUCUUAUAAUCUUAAACUAAGGAUCAAUAAUUCAUAAAUAAAUGUAAAAAUAAAAAAAAAGAUAUUUUAAUAUUUCAAUCACCCCAACUAAAUUAACAUUUUUAUAAAAAAAAAUUAAUACUAAUAAUUCUUAUAAAUUUAUUAAUAAAACUCUAUAGGGUCUUCUCGUCUUUUAUUAAAAUUUAAGCUUUUUAACUUAAAAAUAAAAUUCUAACAAAUUUAAAUAGAGACAGUUAUUUUUUCAUCUAACCUUUCAUACCAGCUUUCAAUUAAAAAACUAAUGAUUAUGCUACCUUUGCACGGUCAAUAUACCGCGGCCAUUUAAAUCCUCAUUGGGCAGGCCARACCUUAAAUUAUAUUCAAAAA
rnacentral:rRNA from 1 species